AAUCAACGCUGGCGGCGUGCCUCAGACAUGCAAGUCGAACGAUUAAAGCUCUCUUCGGAGAGUGUAUAGAGUGGCGCACGGGUGAGCAACACGUAAGUAAUCUACCCUCGAGUGGGGAAUAACAACCGGAAACGGUUGCUAAUACCGCAUAAUGCAGCGGCACCGCAAGGUGACAGUUGUUAAAGAUUUAUCGCUUGAGGAGGAGCUUGCGGCAGAUUAGCUAGUUGGUAGGGUAACGGCUUACCAAGGCUACGAUCUGUAACCGGUCUAAGAGGACGGUCGGUCACACUGACACUGAAUAACGGGUCAGACUCCUACGGGAGGCAGCAGUCGGGAAUUUUGGGCGAAUGGGCGAAAGACCUGACCCAGCAACGCCGCGUGAAGGAUGAAGUAUUUCGGUAUGUAAACUUCGAAAGAAAUAGGAAGAAUUAAUGACGGUACUAUUAUAAGGUCCGGCUAACUACGUGCCAGCA
rnacentral:rRNA from 1 species